rnacentral:rRNA from 1 species
ACGAUGAUGCCCAGCUUGCUGGGCGGAUUAGUGGCGAACGGGUGAGUAAUACGUGAGUAACCUGCCCUUGACUCUGGGAUAAGCCUGGGAAACUGGGUCUAAUACUGGAUACUACCGUCCACCGCAUGGUGGGUGGUGGAAAGGGUUUUACUGGUUUUGGAUGGGCUCACGGCCUAUCAGCUUGUUGGUGGGGUAAUGGCUCACCAAGGCGACGACGGGUAGCCGGCCUGAGAGGGUGACCGGCCACACUGGGACUGAGACACGGCCCAGACUCCUACGGGAGGCAGCAGUGGGGAAUAUUGCACAAUGGGCGGAAGCCUGAUGCAGCGACGCCGCGUGAGGGAUGACGGCCUUCGGGUUGUAAACCUCUUUCAGUAGGGAAGAAGCGAGAGUGACGGUACCUGCAGAAGAAGCGCCGGCUAACUACGUGCCAGCAGCCGCGGUAAUACGUAGGGCGCAAGCGUUGUCCGGAAUUAUUGGGCGUAAAGAGCUCGUAGGCGGUUUGUCGCGUCUGCUGUGAAAGCCCGGGGCUCAACCCCGGGUCUGCAGUGGGUACGGGCAGACUAGAGUGCAGUAGGGGAGACUGGAAUUCCUGGUGUAGCGGUGAAAUGCGCAGAUAUCAGGAGGAACACCGAUGGCGAAGGCAGGUCUCUGGGCUGUUACUGACGCUGAGGAGCGAAAGCAUGGGGAGCGAACAGGAUUAGAUACCCUGGUAGUCCAUGCCGUAAACGUUGGGCACUAGGUGUGGGGGACAUUCCACGUUUUCCGCGCCGUAGCUAACGCAUUAAGUGCCCCGCCUG